CCUACGGGAGGCAGCAGUGAGGAAUAUUGGUCAAUGGCCGGAAGGCUGAACCAGCCAUGCCGCGUGAAGGUCAGUGCCCUAUGGGCGUUAAACUUCUUUUGUGCGGGAGCAAUAAUGGUCACGUGUGGCCAGACGAGAGUACCGUACGAAUAAGCAUCGGCUAACUCCGUGCCAGCAGCCGCGGUAAUAAGGGGGAUGCAAGCGUUAUCCGGAUUUAUUGGGUUUUAGGGGUGCGUAGGCUGUGAGGUAAGUCAGCGGGGAAAUGCCCCCGCUCAACGGGGUGAAGUUGCCGUGAUACUGCCUUGCUGGAAUGCGGAUGCCGUGGGAGGAAUGUGUGGGGUAGCGGUGAAAUGCAUAGAUAUCACACAGAACACCGAUUGCGAAGGCAUCUCACGAAUCCGCGAUUGACGCUGAUGCACGAAAGCGUGGGUAUCAAACAGGAUUAGAUACCCCUGUAGUC
rnacentral:rRNA from 1 species